GACGAACGCUGGCGGCGUGCUUAACACAUGCAAGUGGAGCGACGAACCAGGGCUUGCCCUGGGGCAGAGCCGCGAACGGGUGAGUAACACGUGGGUAACCUACCUCUAUGACCGGGACAACCCGAGGAAACUCGGGCUAAUACCGGAUGUGCUGACUUCUCAUAAGGGAAAUCAGUAAAGAUCGCUUCGGCCUUCGCAUAGAAACGGGCCCGCGGCCCAUUAGCUUGUUGGUGGGGUAACGGCCUACCAAGGCUGCGAUGGGUAGCUGGUCUGAGAGGACGAUCAGCCACACUGGGACUGAGACACGGCCCAGACUCCUACGGGAGGCAGCAGUGGGGAAUCUUGCGCAAUGCGCGAAAGCGUGACGCAGCAACGCCGCGUGGGUGAAGACGGCCUUCGGGUUGUAAAGCCCUUUCAGUUGGGACGAAGCUUCGCCGGUGAAUAGCCGGCUGGAGUGACGGUACCUUCAGAAGAAGCCCCGGCUAACUACGUGCCAGCAGCCGCGGUAAUAC
rnacentral:rRNA from 1 species